AGCUCCUUACCUUGGCGCCCCGUGUUCUGACACAAUGGAUCCACAGGCCGACGACUUUGCCCUCCCAAACAUAUUUCUUUGAGUUUCAAACUUGACUCCGAAGUCCAUAAAAUAAUGACCACAGGAACAUGGUCCCGAUGUUGUAGGACACCUUGCGGAUGGGGGCAGAGGAGGCGGAGGAGGUGGGCCGCGAGCUUCCCGCCGGAGCGGCUCCCUGCGAUGACCCUGCCUCCAGGAAAUAGCAGAUUCCUUGGAUCUCCUUGGGAAAGUUAUCCGGUCUGGGGAAACCCAUAUCCUGAAUGAGGAACAUCACGCAUGUACGUAAGACUGGGGUAAUUCCCAGGCUGGGGGGCCAUCUGUGUGUGUGGACGGUAGUAUUAGUACAAAUUCAACCAAUGAGGUCAAGAGUGACAUCAUCUAUGUCGCUCCACUCGAAUGUCCAUAUCGAGCAUCAAAUUGACUUAUAGAAGCAUCUGGAAUGACGGCAGCUGGCAGGAAAGCGGUGUUUCCACGGACAUGCUGAGUGCCGCGUGCACAGAGGAGUGGCAAUGUUC